rnacentral:rRNA from 1 species
GAAUAUUGCACAAUGGGCGCAAGCCUGAUGCAGCCAUGCCGCGUGUAUGAAGAAGGCCUUCGGGUUGUAAAGUACUUUCAGCGGGGAGGAAGGUGUUGAGGUUAAUAACCUCAGCGAUUGACGUUACCCGCAGAAGAAGCACCGGCUAACUCCGUGCCAGCAGCCGCGGUAAUACGGAGGGUGCAAGCGUUAAUCGGAAUUACUGGGCG